AUGCGACUCCAACUACCACUAAUUAAUACAUAUGAGUAAGAAAAUAAAGUACAUGAAUAGAAUCUAACUGAAGUCCCCCGAAGUAGUUGGACUCAUCACCUGCAGGCCGAAACCUGCAACUCUCUGAUUAUGAUAUAUAGAGUACAAUUCAACUGGUACCUACAUUAUUAAACAAUGUAGCACAUAGACGUGUAUCUGGAUUAGUACUUGUAGAAUGUACUGAGCAUGUGGGGCUGAAUGUAUAAGUAAAAUAGUAACCAUAUAUAUAAAAAUAGAUUUUCAAAUAAUGCAUGAUAAGUGUAAAUGACUCAUAUUGGCUUGAAUAACUGAAAGCUGAAAAUCAUAAAUCAUGAAUAAUAAAGCAUAUUGUAGAAAUCUUGUGAGCCAUAACACAUCGUUCUAAAAAUUGUACUUGUAUUCUAUUUUUAAAUCAUGCAAGCUAAGUGUAGAAAGGACUCACCUUUAUCAUCUGAAAAGUAAAAGCUGUAAUAUAAUAACUGAUGUGCAAUGAAAGAUAAUAUCUGAGUAAAAUUGUGAUCCUUUACACUUGGUUUCUAAAAGAUGUUCUAUUAUUAUUUUUUAUUAGGGAGGUUCUUCUAACCGACAUAAACCAUGUAAGCUAUCAUUUUGUCCAAUAUCUGUUACCCAUAUUAGUAGAGUUGUUCCUCCCUUGACAUCAGAAUUUAACCUAGCUAGAGUGAUCACUAUAUUGAUCCCACUAUGGGUAUUAAAACCUACGGUGGCACAUAGUUCUAGGGCAUGAGACCUUGGAAUCAUAACCAACUCAAAGCUAAAUACUACUUUCAUACUUAUAUGCUAAUUCUGUAGUAAAUCUACCUUAAAAUAGAAUAAGGGUUUACUAUAGAAAAUAGUUAUGCUUUUGUCUAUUUUAAACUGUAAUCAAAGAUACCUGUAUGGAUUCCAUAUCUUAGAUGAGGAUCAAUAGAUCAAAUCUUGAUUAAAAUCUGAAUAUAUCCUUAACAAACAAUGUUUAAACAUUUUCUUGCUUGAAAUACCAAGACUGAAACAUAGGGCUUAUAACCCAUGCUUGAAAAUCAUGUCAAGUCACAAUAACUUCAUACUCAACAAUAAAAAUCUUGAAAUACUUUAAAAAUUCUAGUAAAGAUAACAAAAUUUAAUUCUCUAUAUAUAAAAUCAUGUCACACGCAUAAACAAUAUAGAAAUAGCUAUACAAUUCAACACUUAAAUCACUUGUGACUUCAUAAACAUAAGAUACUGAUGAUUGGGUAUGAAUCCUAAAUAGCAAAUUAUGUAAUUUUAACUUUAAAAAACUAGUUUUGGGCACAAGAAUGAAAGUAGUAUCCUUAUUCGUAACCUUACAUAAUUAUUUAGCUUGAUUCGAUGAAACAAGUCGACUUUGGAAUCCUUGGGAGUGUUCUUGAAGGCAUUUCUUAAAGUUCUUGGAUCGGAAACUUUGAAUUCUUGACAAUCUUGAAGAGAAUGUAAUGGAUUCAUGAUGUUCUUAGAAGAUGGACUUAAGGAGAAACCCUUAUCUUGUUUAUGUGAAUAAAGAGGAUUGAAAAACAUGAUUUUGAUAAUAAAAUUCAUGGGAGUUUAGGGAAAAGACCAAAAUACCCCUCCAAAUUUAAAUAGAAAUUCCUGAAUUUUAAGGGUGACGACCUUAGCUGAUAGGUCAUCACUCUAGUGAUGGCUAUCAACUCAGGUGGUCACAUAGAAGUUGAUUUUAUGAGUUACUAGUCUUAGGUUAUGACUUGGGCUGAUAGUUCAUCACAUAAGUGAUGACGUAUCAACUCAGGUCGUUACUUGGAGGCUGAUUUUAUGAGUUAUUGGUUUUGGGUGAUGACUUGGGCUAAUAGAUCAUCACAUAGGCGAUGGCCUAUCAACUCCGGUCAUCACUUGAAGGCUGAUUUUAUGAGUUACUAGUUUUGGGUGAUGACUUGUCUGAUAGGUCAUCACUUGGGUGAUGACUUAUCAACUCAGGUCAUCACUUUGUUGAUAGACAAACAUGUUGAAGUAAAAUGACCAUUACUUUUUACUAUGAUAUAGGAUUAAGGUGAAACCUAGUAAGUUGGAAAGAAAUUCAAUGAUAUUUCAUUGAUAUAAGGUACAGCACAUAACUCAUUAUGUAAAAGGAGUAGUGGUCGUUUAAAGUUGACCCAAGCUGAAAUAUGUGCUAAAACUUAAUCGAUGAAAACGUUCUCAACUCAUCGUUGAGUUAGGAGAUAUUUGUGACCUCAAUUCAUAUAUAAAGGUAAUCCCGAACUAUAUAAUUGAUCAUAAUACAUAUAUUAACAAGGAAUAAUUGGGUUUGGAUCUAUACGCAUAGGAGCGAUGGUUUGAAUUCUAGCAGGAAAAAUGUGAGGUGUUACAUAGCUGCUUAUAGUUGUGACAUAAUUCAUGGAAUUCAUAGACAAAAUCAUAGAAUUAAUCUAAACAUUAAUGAAAAGAGAAAACACAAAAUCUCAAAUUGAAUAACCAACUAAAAGUAAGGAGAUGGUUAUGAAUUGUGUAACUUAUCCCCCAAGUGCCUAUCUCAGAUAAGACUUACUAAAGAACGUCUAAAGUGUAUUUAUAGAGUAUAUAGAAGCCCUAGAAAUCUAAUCCUAAAUAAUAAAGGAAAACCAGAAAAAAGCAUACAUAAUAAUGACUAAACACAUCAUAGGAUAGUAUAUAGGUUACACAGAAUCCCUAGGAAAUUUCAUCAAUAUGAUUUCAGAAACUUACAUCGAUAGCCACCUAGAGUCCAACCUACCGGCCGUAGAUUGCUCCUACGCCCCAUAGGUAGGUGUCAUAGGUGGUUACCUAAAACUGGGCCUCUAAAUAUCACUUUUUCAUACCUACGGACCCAUGUAUACUAGGUAGGUGGUACCUAUAGGGCAUAGGUACCAAAUUAGGUGGUCAUUUUUUUGGCUUUUCAUUUUAUUUUAUUUUAGUUAGGUUCGAACACCUAGAUUACUACAAAAUCACUCCGAAAACACAUGAAAUCCACCUAAAUAGCCUUAACUACAUAGGUAUGUUCCAUGUUUAAACAUCAUAAGUUUCAUAAAAAUAUGGAACAUCAGAAGGUCCAAUCAACACACAACAUGCCGUAAGUAAUACUCAUAAACUAAACAUAUGCAACUACCCACAAGGCUUAUAGAUAUAAAUGAAUACUGAUUAUAGGGAAUAUGCAUGCAAGGAUGAAUGAAAAGUAUAAUCUCUACUACUAGAAUUUAACAAGGUGCCAUAAUGUAACCUAGUUUAGCACUUCCUCUAGCUCGAUGGCUCGCAAGGCAUGACAUACGGUGACCUCUCUUUUUUAACAUGACAUCUCAUGAUUUAUAGAGGCCUCAAGCGGGUUUGGGAGUCCCUAUAUAUAUUGACCUAAUUCUAAUCCAAGAUUUAUAAUACUCAUCAUCAGCAUCAACCUACUCCAUCUAGCACCAAUGAUAUAUAUAUAUAUAUGAAUGGACUAGACCUGGGGCAAGGAGAGUGUGUAAGUCUGUAAUUCUAUUGCCAGGGGGGUUUCAAUGAUAAUAUCUUCAUAAGUGAGUAGAGAGGGUUAGAGUCUCUCUUGAUCGAGUUAAAUAGUAGUAGUAAAUCAUUGACCGAAAUCUAUCUUUGUUAAAUCUCUAAAACAUCAUUUUUAGUCUCAAAACAUCAUAAGGCAUUUGAUUAAAAUGGUAAGAUUCCUAUAAUAAAAGAAUCCAUAUUAAAAGUGAAAAGUUGGAAUAAAUCCUUUUUUUAGGAAAAUUAUUAGUAAAAACAUAUUUUUAGAUGGAAUCAUAUCAUUUACUAUUUUAGUGAACAUAAAUGUACCGAAUCUAUGCAUUCCAUCACCAAUAUCUAACUAAUAUAAUUCUAAGCAUCUAAAGGUCUAUAAAAUAAUGUCACGUCUUUUACUAGGCUAAAUCACUUCUUAGAAUCCAAUUAAUAUCAUAAUCACGACCAUGGGUCAAAUAAUACAUAUGCGACAUAACCAUAUCAAAAUCUCUAAAACUAUCACAACCCCUAAGUAACAUAGUACACCUUAUACUAAAAGAUAAUUGGCCUCAUCUAUUUCAAUCAUAUUAGAAACCUAGGGUAAUACAAUUCUGAAAGCAUAAUAAGUAUCUCACCUUCAGGGUUGAUUUUCCCUUCUAUCCUCAAACCCAAACUUUAGGCUAAGUCAAGGUGCUCUACCAACAAUCACAUCCUAAAAUCCCUAUAUUAUAUGUAGUAUAUAAAAUACAUUAUCUCAUUAAUAAGAGUAGACGGAAGCAUACCUCGAUGCCGAACCAUAUAUCCUUGAAUCAUUCAUAAAAAAUUCAUGUUCACUCCAUCAUCCCUAAAUAUCGCCACACUACUAAAAUCAUAAUUUAUACAUUGUUACGAGUAAAACAAAACCCAUAUUGCUAUCAUGACCUAGUUUAAAAAUCAUGGUGACACCUACUAAAUAUCAUCAGUAGGUAAGCAAAACCAUAACCCACAGCUAACAUAAUAGGUUAAUUUUCUAAGAAGUUCCAAAUAUAGGAAAGAUUUCAAGAAAAAGAUUUGAAAAUACAAGGGUUCUAUAUAAAAUAAAUGGUCAAUACAAAAUACCAAUCCCAUGACCUGGUAAAACUAGUACAAGAGCAUCUAAUAGGAUAAAUACAACUCAAUGACUAGAAUAGUUAAUACAUCUGUAUUAAAUACGAAAGAUAAAAUAUAAAAGAAGGGAAAAUGGUGAGUCAAACUCAUAGAGCUCACCCUAUUUUUGAAAAUCAAUCACUAUACAAACAAUAAUUAACAGUGAUAGCUAAUAUUGGAACUAACAACAAAAAAGUAUAGAAGUGUAGUAUAAGUAUCAAAACAAUGGUUACCUAGUGGACAUCAUUGGCCGACUAAGAUAAAUCAUGAUAUCAAGAUGAUAAAAAAACAAGAUAACAUAAUUAAGUCAGGGAAUAGAAUCAAAGAAUGAUAACAUAAUUGAGGAAUAGUAAUUAAGAAGAAGGAGAGAGAAAAUUAGAGAGCCAGAAUGGGUAGAUUUAGUUUUGCCCAACUAAGGUCAGAGGGUGGUAACCAUUCUCAGUUUAGUAAAAAAUUUUUAGCCCCAGUUCCAUCUUCAGCUAAUACACUAGUACUAAGGUUCAAGAAUGACAGUCAUAAUGGGGCGCCAAGCUACAAAACCCAGAGUGGUGCAAGCAGUAUUCGUACUAAUCUUCUUUGCGAAGAAUGUGAUAAGAAUCAUAAGGGUAUGUGAAGAGCCGACAGUGAUGUAUAUUUUGGAUUUGGCGAGUCAGGUCACAGAGUUUGAGAUUGACCUAAGGUUGGUCUAUGAAGUUAGUACAGUCAUCCUUCAGCUCAGUUCGGUCGCUCAAAUCAGCUGGGUGCCACUUCCAGUACCGCCCAUGGGCAGCACCCAAAUAGGCUUUCUGCACUUCAAUCCAGGUAAGAUUAGGAAAGUUCCCCUGAUGCGGUCAUUGGUAUGUUAUAGACUACCCAUUUACAUUUUUAUGUCUCAUCAGAUCCAGGAGAUUCUUUGUCUUUUGUAACUAUUUACAUAGCAGUUAACUUGAAGGUCAGACCAAAUAUUAACAAAACCUUUCUCAGCCUCCACCCUAGUGGGUCAGUCUAUCAUAGCUCGGCGGGUAUACAGGAACUAUCCGGUUAUGAUAUCUCAGGAAGUUAGGCUUCAAGAUUUUAGUAGUAAUAUUAGUAGGUGUAGAAAAGUAAUGGGUGGGAAUCAUGCUCAACCCGUCUUUACCUCAGUUCAAAGUUUUGUACUUAAGUCUUCAUGAUACCUACACAUGAUUUAUGUAUCAGCUCCAUGAACACAAUUUAUAUUCAUGUACUUUUCACCGAAUCAUGUGCAUUUCCAGUUCUUAGUAUGAGGAGUUCCAGUUCACUCAGUAGUACGAAUUAUGUUCCAUGAAAAUAAAAACACUAAACUUAGGUCAUACGAAUCAUGACUUCUGCACUAGUUCCUUACAACAUAUUUAGUCCUAGUUAUUAUCUGAAUUGUAGUCUCAGUCACAGUCUUAGCUAUGUGUCAGUCUCAAUCCAGUAAUCAGACUAGAAACUCAAUUCACCAUCAGGUUUGCUCGACCAUAGCGUACAAUUAUCAAUUACUCAGUUAUUAGUAUUUCAGUACCUCAAUUUACAAAAUAAUAUAGAUUUUAUAAAUUCAUGCUCAGUUAUCUUAUAUUAUCUAGUCAGUCCUUACCUCAUAUACAUGAUAUUCAACAGCUUCAGUCCAUUUAUUCAGAUUAAGUAUAGUUCAGUCUUGCAGACCCAGUAUUUUGCUAUCAGUUAUUUAGUUAAUUAGAUAAGAUAGUAUAUUUAUGCAUUCGUUCUCAACAUCCAUAGAAAUAGUUUCAGUAGUCUCAGGUGAAGUGUGAAAAAAAGGUAGAAAGUGUAGUUGAAUAAAAAGAGUGUUAAAGAAAAGCUCCAGUUGAGAAUAAGUUUUUAGUAUAAGUUAGUCCGUAAAGCCAGUAAUUAAGUUUAGCGGUUGGACGAACAAAUUCACCUGGUGUAGUUUUCCAUCUUUCCAUCUAGUUGCACUAUCUAAAGUCUCAUGAAUGUAACUAUUCUAAGAUGGGUCAACCAUGUAGUUGCAUGUUCAGCUCAGUUUAUGUAUCAUGUCUCAGUUUCAGAUCCCAGAUAUUCAGUCAUAACUCAGUUCGUAAAUGCCUUGUGCAUCGCCCCAAUUUUCCUUAGUAUCUAAGCCAAGUCAACAUAUUUCAAGGGACAUAGUGUCCCAAUGGGGAGAUACACUAUAACUCCCGAGCUUUCAUGUCCUAAACCUCCCAGUUUCUUUUUACGUGACAAAUCCAAUUUGGAGUAUUGGGUACUUAUAAGUUGACACUCAAGUUCCAAUCUCAGCCGUAAGCCAUGUAUUCAAGGGGCUCAGUUCAGUUUAUGAUAUUCAGUUCAUGUAUCACAUUCUAGUCUCAGUCCUGAUCUGAUGUUCCUGUUCAUGCGUACUCUGAAAAUGAUCUUGGCUUCAUCGUUAUUUUUCAGUUUAAGUAAUAGUUUUUCCUUGAGAUUACUUAGUUCCAUGUUCUGAUUACCUUUACAAACUUGCUAUCAAUUAACGUUGCAUAUUAAUUCAUGCAUUCAUAAUUCAGUUCAGUCAUGAAUUCAUACAUCAAAUAUGUAUGUUCAGUUUAAGAAAAUUCAGCUUAUCAAAAAUCCCAGUUAUGCAUUCACAAAUUAGCUCAGUCAUGCAUUCACGAAUCUGCUCAUUCUUGUUCCCAUACGUCAGAUAUGCAUAUUCAGUAUGAAAAAUCAGUAUAUCAGUAGUUUCAUUCAUGCAAUUAUGCUUCAGUUGUGCAUGUCCAGUAUGUACUUUCAGGUUAUCAUUUUCUCCCAUCUUAGUCAUUCUUAUUCGAGGAUGAAUGUUACUAAGGGGGAGAUAUGGUAAGACCCCGCAAAAUUCUAAGCGCAAUUCUACCUUUUAAAGUUUGUCAAUGGGUCCCAGACUUAGAAAAUUUCACUAAGUGUCCAUACUUAGUGUUAUUUUGGCCUUCGUAAGUUGGAAACCCUAUUUAACGAUCCUUUUGACCUUAAAGUAUCAAUCUUUAGGUUGAUUCAUGAUUAAGAAUGUCAUUAGGUGUUUUGAACAAGUUUAGAAAUCUUCAAACCUCAUUUAGACCAUGUUCAAAUGACUAAAAUAGUGAGUUGACGUAAUCUUGAUGCAUCGCGUCAUCCAUCGCAUUGACAGAUAAUUUUUCCCUUAGCUCAGUGCAAUUUCCAAUGAAUAGAUGUGGACUCGACGUGGUGCACUGGCUAUCGCAUCGAUGCAAACGACGUUGCGCAUUAGCCUAUGCGUUGAUGAUUCAAUUUUUUAGUAACUAAAAGACUGCAUCCUUAGUGGUAAAUAGGUCAUUUCACCAUCCCCAUUAAUCCCUAAGACACGAGAUUCAGUCCUCAUUAAGCAAAAUAUACUUGAUUUCUCUCAAAAUCUCUGGAAAAAAAAACCUUGGGGGGGGGGGGAGGGAAUUAAUUUCAAAUAAAGAACUCAAGAAACUACCACCAAUCUUUUAGAAUUUAGAAACCAAGGUAUGUUAAGUGUUCAUCCAAGGGUUUCCUUCCACCCUUGGAGUUCAAUAAACCUUUUUCAAUCUAAAAUUUAUUGGUUUAAUGAAAUUCAUUAUUUGAUUGGACUAUGUUCAUGAUUAUUAUGUCGAUGGGGUUUUCUAAUCCAUGAUUAGUUGAAAGAUUCAUGUGAAAUCAUUUAUUAUAUGUGUAGAUUCAUGUGAAUUCAUGCUAAAGCCUUGUGAUUGUAAAUUUGGAGUUUAAAUUAGAUACUGUCAUGUUGUUUAGUAUUAUGUGCAUGUACUAUGCCCUCCAAGUGUUUGAUGAAUUGUUCAUGUGAGUUGAAUAAUGAAAUUAUAGAAUCCUAACAUGUAUUCCCCAUUCAUGUACAAGUUAAUACAUUACAAGUGUUUGAGUAAAUGUCUCUAUGAAUGAACUAUGGACUAGUAUGCAUUGUUAUGACUUUUAGGAUUAUGCUAUGAUCUACUUUUCAUGCUAUCGAGUUUUGGGGGUAUUUAUACCCGAUAAUUUAGUUGUUUGCCUAGAGAUAGUGUUAGUUACAGAAUUAUCUAAGUCAUGUUAUGAUCAGUAGUACUCUCAGUCAGUUACAAGACUUAGUAAAAUUUAGUAGUACUCAGUAAUCAGUCUCAGUUCAGUAUUCAGUUCAGAACACAAUAUAUCAAGUUUAGAACUCAGAAAACUCAGUCAGUUCAUAGAAUUCAAUCAGUAAUUAUUUCAGUACUCAGAUAACUAAGAAUAAGUUAAAUUCGGUUCAGUAAAAAUCAAUUCAAUUUAGUUAUACAAUAUGAUUAGUAACAGUUCAGUCCACCCUAGUACAGUUUUGAAUUUAGUCCAGUGUCUAUUCAGUUGGGAGUAGGAUACAGCAUUGAUUGGACCCAAGAAUGGGGACUCACCUGCUAGUAAAGAGUGAAAUCCUUAUAAGUAAUCCUUAAAUUCUAGAACUACGUAGCCAUCGUACGUUGAGAUAUCUUCCUGCAAAAUUAGGGUUGGUAUAUCUGAGUUGAGUUUUCCUACCAGCGAGGGUUGAUGGAAGAGCUUUCUAUUAAAGAGGAUUAACUCAUAGCUUUUCCUUACCCGUGGCAUGGUAUUGACACUCUUCCAACAAGGGUUACUGGUUGGACCCUAAAUUAGUUAGAGAAGGGGCAUGUCGGUUAGAUAAUUAAUUCCAACAGUUUCAGUUUUAAAUUUAGUCUCAGUAUAGAACUCAGUUCAGUUUUAUAGAUUCAGGACUGUCAGACACAGUCACUCAGCUCAGUACAAAACUCAGUGUAGUUUCACAGAAUUAGUAAUUUCAGAUACAGUCAUUCAGUUAUCAGUAAUUUAGUAUCAGUAUACUCAGAUAUCAGUUAAUUAGUAUUCAGCCAGCAUAGAUUGAGAUGCCUUCCUACCAGUCUAAAGUUUAUACAUCUCAUACAAGUUUUCCUGUCAACGGGGUUGACGAAAAGGCUUCCUGUCAAAGAGGGUUUACUCAUAGCAAUUGGCAGUAUACCUUGGCAAGGUGCUAACACCCUUCCAACUGGGGUCAUAGGUUAUACCCUAACUCAGUUCCAAAUUGGGGUAUGUCGGUUAGAUAAAAACUCUCACAUUUUUAGUUUCAGUUUCAAACUCAAUAUAAAAUCUCAGUUUAGUUUUAGAAUCAGGACUGUCAGAUAGAGUCACCCAGUUCAGUAUAGAACUAAAUUCAAUUUUACAGAAUCAGGACUGUUAGACACAGUCACUCAGUUAACUGUAAUACAUUACUAAUGAACUCAGAUAUCAGUCAUUCAGUUUUUAAAACUCAUUAUCUAUUGUAAAUGAAAUCUCAGUUACAAUAUACGUAGUUAUAUGCAUAACAUUGCAUAAUCAGUAUUUACAGCAGUUUCAGAUAUACAUCUACUCUCAUCAAGUUAUACUCAUAUUAUUCAGUUAGUUAUUCUUCGUGCAUAUGAACCUAUGAAUUAAGCCUAUGAAUUAAGCCUUACCUCACCUAGCAUACCAGUAGAUUCAAAGUACUGACACAUAUCUUUUUUCUUGCUAUGAUGUCUUAUAUCACAGGUUUAGACGCAUGGGCUCCUGACCGUACUUUGUAGCCCAGCCUUUAAGCAGAAGAUUUAGUGGUGAGUCCUCAUAGUUUGAUGAUAGAGUAUUAUUUCAUUUAAUCAGUACUUUAAUAGCUGGAGUUCAUUGGGGGCUUGUCCCAUCAACUCCACAUCAGACCGUUCAGUUAGAGUCUCUUCAGACUAGAUUAUUUCAGAUUAUUCAAUUAUCACAUAUGAUUAUCAAAUGUUCAGUAUUUAGUAUUCACAUAUCAAUAUAUGAUUCUACUUUGCACCUUAUGGCAAUUUUUUUCCCUAACUUUUGCAUUAUACAGUAUUAUUAUUCAGUGAUUACACCAGAUACUAGUCAUGGGUUAGCUUGUGGUCCUUUGAGAUUAUGAGCACCAUGUGAUGCCUGGGGGUGCAGACUCGAGGCGUUACACGAUAUUUCUAUGGAUUUUGUAUUUUGUAUUAGAAUUUAACCUUAAAUUUUGUUUCAAAAAAUGAGAUAUUUUAAGCAGAAAGUCGAGCUAGCUACUACCUAAUGACCAGUAUAACGGUCCUUCACCCACUACAAUGAUUCUACUAAAGUGGAAUAAGGCAUUAUGGAAAACCUAUCGAGCAGGGCUAGGCCUUCUAUGGUGGGCAUGCAACAACUCCAACAGUGUUGUUGUAGCAGUAUCCCUACCACUUCAGUAGCCCUAAACCAGUUGCUCUAGAAAACUUAAGUUUCUACCCCCUGACGCAACUAGCAUCUCACAACAUAUUAUCAUAGCUUAAAUUUUGCCACAAAUGAAUACAACUAUAUGAGGUCUUUAUUUUUUGGCUACUAGGCUGGAGAAUUUCACUAUCUUAAUCAUUGGAGAAGUUUCGUCAAGGUAGCAUAGAUCCGAGCCUCCCUUUUUUUUACUAUUUCAUCCGCUCAUAAGGAAUUAAUAUUACAUCUAUUCACCAUAAUUAUCAUAAUUUCAUCAUACAAUGAUCCUCUAAUUAUAAACUCCAUAAAUAACAACUAUUCAAAUAGUUUCACCAUAAUUCAUUUAUGAACUACAUAUCUUGACUUUUAUGGACAAAUAUCAAUUAGAAUUGACUAGGUUCCAAUUGUAACCUUAAAAAGAUACCAUUUGGAAUCAACAAGGUUCCAAUAAUAUUUACUGAGAUACCGAUUGGACUUAAUCUAGGUAGACAAAUAACUGAUAUAGCACGACAGGAAAGAGGAAAGGAAAUAACACCUAGAUGCCUCAUAACAUCCUGAGGGUUGAUAUGGACAUCUUCACACUAAUCUGCAAGACUCUACUUGACAGUGCUCUUGUACUUAUGAGUUUGGUAACCUAGCACUCCGAUACCAACUGUUACAACCUAAAUUAUAAGAUCAUGUAGACACCUUCUUUAUUCUAACAAGAUAGGAGAAUCAUUACCACCUAAUCAAUUUCAUAGCAAAGUUCUUGAAAUAAAUUUUAUAUAAUGUAAUAAAUUCAAUUUUAAAUAGUAAAUAUUCAUGGUAAUAACUUCAAAAUUUUUGAAUUGUUAACUCAACAUAACACAACAUUACCCGAGGACCUAGUACAGAUUUGUACAAAAGUUUCUUCUAAAAUUAAAGAAUGAAUUAAAGAAAGAACUUCCACCUGAAAAGAUACAGAAAUUGAUGAAGAGUAUUUUCCACUCAGACUAAGAAACUUCAAGUCAACCUACAACACACCUAUACCCCAAAAGGAUGAAGCCGAAUUAGUAUGAGUACACCACAUAUACUAAUAACAACGAUUGAUCGACUAGGAUUAGUUCAAAUAAUUAUAUGUAGAAAUCAACAAAAUCAUUCAUGAUAAUCUCAUAUAACGGUUAAACACCAAAGUUCAUAGUCCUUCAUGCGACCAGUCGAUAAUUUAAAAAAUUCUCAAACAUCGUUAUUCAUUCAGUUAACUCUAUCAAUUACAUUAUGUAUUUUGUUUCCAUUAGGGUAAGUUUUACCAACCAUUAACACAAUCGCAAACAUGUUUAUUUAAAGAACAUGAAAUCAGCUAAUGAGUUCCAACCCACCAAUGUCCAAGAAAUCAGAUAAAGCAAGUAGAUAGGCAUCCCAACUAUUGCGUUAUAGUAGCACACAUAAGAGUAAGUGGUCAUCUAAGUAGUGUAGUGGCCUUUAAAAUCCAAGUAUAGAUCCCUCAGGGACUUAUGCUCAGGAACGAUCUAAUUCUAGUAUUACUACAGAGAUUAAACAAGUGCCAAAGUAACUAAUAAUGGUAGAGUUUUGAAAAAGUAAAGUAACUGUAAACAAAGUGAUAAUAUAAAGCGCUUGAACAAUAUUUGCAAGAAACCCAAUGUUAAGGCACUACGAACAAUCCUACAUAUCCAUUCAAUCUCGAUUGUUUACUUAUUUAUAUUUUUUGUUGAUUCACGAAGUUGAUAAUAUAAUUAUGGAAUGGUCAACCUCUAAUCAUCUAUCUAACUUAGCCACAUAACUACAUUGUUGAGCGGGGAUGUGAGAACUAAGUUAAAUGCAUUUAUAUUUUAUCCUUUACAUAAACGAAAUGGGGAAAAUUAGGUAUAUACCUAUACUAACCACAAUAUUAACUUUGAUUUCUCUCUAUUUAAUAUCCCACUCUAUAUAUCCCACUUUCUAAUCUAGUGUUCCCUUUUUCUGGGUUCAGAAUAGAAAUAUAUAUUUAUCAUAUAGCUUGUAAAUCUAUAGAAUAGUAAAAACAAAGAUAUAUGAACAACAAACCAUGAUAACAAAAAUAAAGCAACUUAAUUAUAAAAUUAAGAAUUCAUGUUCUUGGCCUCAACCCUAGAUGAAGGUGUUUAUCCACUUAUGGAAUUACAACGAAUCACAAUAACAAAAUUCAUGUAUAUAAUCAAAAAGUAAACUAAAGUAAUGACUUAAAACCCCAUGAAAAAACUUAUCAAUUGCAUUAAAAUCCACAAAGGUCAUCCAUGGCAUGUACAACAAAGUAGAAGUGUCCUAUUUUUAUGGUAGCCAAGUGCCAGUUUUGAACACAUAGGCGUGCCACGGUAAGAGAUUGGCACGAUAUGGGGAUGACAUGCCCUUAUUAUGGAUGCACACUGGAAUUUUCCAAUUUGUUUCAGAACCAAGGGUGUUCACUCCCUUAGCUCAGAGGCUAGAGGACGUUACACGCCCUGGUGCUCAAAAUUUCAAGAUUUUGACAUUAUUUUCUUCAUUCGUUUGUCCCUGAGUUCCUCCCUUUGUGGUUGAUUCACCAUUAUCAUUGGACCUUGUUUAGAUUUCUUACAUCAUUAUAAAAAUAUCACAUGGCCUCCUACAAUAUUAAUUACCUCGAUUUAGUGCUUACGUACCAUAGAAUUUAUCAAGAUAAACUAGAACAACACCUAGCUGAAGCUUGUAACACUAGUUUUGUCAUCUAAACUCUAAGUGAUUGUUUUCAUUCCAAACUUGAUUCAAACACACCAUAAACACUAUAAAUAAGUAAAUUAAUACUUAAAUUCUCAAUUAUAUGAAUAUCAAUUCAUUACGCACAUAAGAAGCUCUCAAACUAGGCUAAAAACAUAGAUAUUAUAACUUAGGUAUAUAAAUCAACCUAAGAUCCUAACCCCACACUUAAAUCCUUAUUCAUCAUUGAACAACUCAUCACAUUAAGUAUCAUUUAAGAAAUAUUCCACAAUUACUAAUACUAGUAAGACGCUCAAGCUAAAGUUAUGAUGACUACACAAAUAACAAGCUCUACACUAAGCAUGCUAUAUUAGUUGAAAAGCUCAUGAUCACUACUUCAAAACACCCUAACCUCAAGAAUUGUCUCAACCAAGUUGGAAAACUCAUGCAUAAUACUUUAAUCAAUGAGAUCAUACAAUUCACCUAACUAUCAUCAAACAUGCGCCCUUACAACAAGUGAGUUACUUAUGUUCACUCAUAAAGAUGCAAGUUUCACAAAAAUGGGCAUACGAAUCAAAUUUUGCUAGCUCUCACAAAGAAUUCACAUUACACAUAGUAUGAACCAUCAACUUUCCUUCGUGUAGUACUCCACUAAUAUCAGAAUAUUAUGUCUCGAGAUCAAGUAGGACUUUACUAGUUAUAAUAUAAGUUGAUAGAUGGAUAGGAACUAUUCUGGCCAAUAAUAGUGACUAUCUUCCCUAAGCACUUUAAUUCAUCACAUUAUACAUGGAAUGAUUUUCUAACCAACCAAACUUCCAUCUCCUCCACCUCCACAUAUGUCUUUUGUUUUGCCCCAUCCAUUUAAUCUAGUUAACAUAUAUUAAGGAGAGAGUGUUUUAUAUCAACACAUUAUUCAAUUUUACAUAGUUUUAUUUUCAUUACAUCACUCCUAAAAAUAACACAUUAACUUUUCCAACACCAAUAUCGACUACUUAGGGGCUUCACUUUUACCUCUUCCCUGUUAUUCUUAAUUUUCACACUCCUUAACCAUAUUAAUUUUUUAAAUAAAGUUCUUACAAGAUUUUGAUCAAAUUAUGGACGAUCAUAGGAGGGGAUAUUCUAAAAAUAAGGCUACCAAAGAAUAUAGUCUAAAGGCUUAAAAGGGCUAACUAAGAUUAAGCUCAAAGGUAGGUAAAAAAGGGUCUAAGCUAGCAAAAAAUUCCUAUAUAAUCUCCUAAACCCUUAUUCUUUAUUUCUCUUUGCGCACACACUAGGUAAGUAAAAUAGUGAAUAUAGGUUUAGGAGAUAUUCUUAGUGUGUGUGCAUUGUUGGAUGUAUUUUGAAAUCAUGUGAUUUCUUCGUUUAGGGUAUGUUUUUGUGAUGUGAGGACGUUUCUUCUUAAGAGGCGCUUGGGAAACUCUAUGAGAUAGUCCGAAGAGGUCACUGGUGGUUUUCACUCCCCCAUCCUACACUCAUCCACUUUCAUAGUUGUGAUCAUUCACAAAUUGUUACAGUGCAAAGGUGGAUUGAGUGGUUUGUAUACUUUAAAAACUAUCUCUUCAUUAUCUUGUCUCAUUUUCAAAGUGCCCUCUCUAACAUCAAUCAGUGAUACUCACAAUACCAAGAAUGGAUGUCUAAAUAUGAUUGGUACCUUAUCACCUAUAUCAUAAUCAAGAAUAAUAAAAUUAAAAAGACUAUGAACUUACGGACCUUAAUAAACAUGUCUCCAGUAAUUUCUUUGGGAUGUACUCAGGUCUUAUUCGCCAUUUGGAGCACUACAAAACCUGGAAUAGUCUUCCCUAUUUAAGAGUAUCAGAUAUCAACAGGUGAAUCAAGUGUAUGCUUUCCUACAAAUCACUCAAAUAAUGAACCAUAUCAUUAUCACCAAUUUGUAUGGGGAGGGUUAAACUUCUUGGGUUCUUCAACUCUUUGGCCAUUAUCCUCAUCACCAUCAAACUGCACUCUUCAGUAAGUGACACUAUCUCAAUAUCAUUUAGCUUUGUCUUGUUAGUUACCACAUACUUCAAGUACUUUGUGUACUUAGGCAUAUUCUGCAAAACAUAUAACAAUGUAAGAUUAAUGUGAAGUUCUCUGAAUGUGUCGAAGAACUUAUUAAAUAUACUUUCUUCUUAGAAUUUCAGCCUUUGAUAGAAUGGUGGUGGUGGUCUUUCUGGUCGUGCUCAGCAUCCUUAGUUUUUGGGUACUUAGAAUUCCCUAAAUUCAAAGCCUUUGUAGCUCCCACUUUCUCUUCUUAUACCUUUUGGGGACUAACUCUUCCUGUACCUCUUAAUUUUUUAGUCUGAUGCCUGUCAAUAUGAUUUUUGCCUCUUCUCAAGGUGAUUUCCAUAACAUUCUUUAGAUUCUCUAUAUCACUAGGAAACCCACUUUUAGGUCUGGUACUCUUCACCUGGGGUAAUUGCCCCAACUAUAUCUCCAAUUUUUUUGGGAAAGUCGCUGAUUUUUUAAUAUUAGCAACUAUUUGUUUUUGGUUGGCAAAGAUUAUUUUCUAUGUCUCCUCAAUAUUACUGGCCUACAUGUUCUACAGUUACUGAAACAGCUAAGUCUAAUUACUACCCAUGAAUAGUUGGGCUACUCUGCCACUUGUGAUUAUUGGAAUUCCCAAAAUUUCCUUAUGUGUAUUGACUACAAAUUCACCCACUCUAAAUUUGCUCAACAUAAGUAUGUAGAGUGGCCAUUAAUCCCAUCAAUUUCACACUAAGAUAAUUCCCGCUAAACUAUAUUUACCCAAGCCUGAGAUUGGCUCGCAACCAAUUUGUUGAGCUAUGUUAUCAUCUUAUUCUGAAGUGCUGACAUUAGGGCGGCCAAAGCUGUGAAAAUAUCAAUCUCAAUCAUACUCACAAAUGUUUUCACUAGAUUUUAAGAUAUCAAUAUACCAAUAAGGAUUACCUUCUGUACUUCAGUUCAGUAAGGUAUACAUCUCGUCAUAAGUUUCCUCUAAUAGUUGACAACUUGUGGUUGAAUCUAAUAAAAUCUUUAUAUUAUAGUCAAGAGCUUCAAUAAAAUUAUGAGCCAAUACUUUAUUGGUCUAUUAGUGAUAUGGACAAUCCUUGAGAUGAUAUUUGAAGCUCGCCCAUGUAUGAUAGAUGUUCUCAUCUAGCUUCUACUUAAAGCUCAAAGUUUCACUACAUAACCUCACAGUCUUGCUGGAUGGGAAGAAUCAUAUGAGGAACUUUCUUACCAGAUUAUCCCAUGUAGUGAUUAAGUUUGGAGGUUCCAUAUUCAACUAUUUCUUUACUUCCCCUAAAAGUGAGAAGGGGAAGAGAGUGAGCCUCAUAUAGUAAUAGAGACUCUAGUGGGAAUGAAGGUUUCACUGAUCUCAAAUAAAUUCUACAAAUGGACUUAUGGCUCCUUAUGUUAUAGUUUAAAUUGCCCACUGCUAUGCAAUAGUUUCACCAUAUUUUGUUUAAACUCAAAUCUACCUCUAAGUUCUGGUCUAUGGAUAAAUGAGGUAAAAUUACUUGUCAGUGGGAUUAACACUUUGCAUACUAUUCUUCGGGAUGGUGGAUAUUUACUAAUUUGUACAAGAAUAGCUUUAUCUUGCUGAAUUUGAGGUAUCUAAUAGAGACAUACUACUUCUAUCCUCAACUAAUGUAAGCAUCACACAGGUUUAGGAUUGCCAGCUUACUUAUGUUUCAAAUUUGUACCUGCAAAUUCAGAUGCUAAGAUCAAGUUAUUAACAAUUAAUAAAGCUAAUAAAAAAUCUAAAACUAAGGAAAUUUCUAAUUUUUAGGUCCCAGACAAUGGCACCAAAAACUUAUUGCGUCCUAGUGCACAUGCACACGUAAGUGUACGUGGUCACCCAAGUAGUAAAGUGGCCUUUAAAAGACAAGUAUUUCUCCCCCCCCCCCCUAGAGAAUUAUGCUCCACAAUGAAUUAAUUCUAGUAUUACUAUGGUGAUUAAACAAGUGUAAAGUAACUAAUGAUGGUUGAGUUUUGAAAAAGUAAAGUAACUAAACAAAGAAAUGAUAUAAAGUGAUUGAAUAAUAUUUGGGAGAAACCUAGGGUUAAAGCACUACCUACAAUCUUACUUAGCCAUACAAUCUUGUUGGUUUGGUUAUUUAUCUUGGUUGAUGAUUCAUGAGGUUGAUAACAUAAUUAGGGAAUGGUCAUCCUCUAAUCGUCUAUCUAAAUUAGCCCCACAACUAUAUUAUUGAGUGGAGAUGUGAGAAAUAAGUUAAAUGCAUAUAUAUUUCAUCCCAUAUAUGAACUAAAUAGGGAGAAUUAGGUAUAUUCUUAUCCUAACCGCAAACCUUAACUUUGACCUCUCACUGUUAAAGAUCCCACUCCGUAUAUCCCACGUUCUAAUAUAUUAUUAUUCCUUUAUGGCUUAUAAUAGAAAUAUAUGUUUAUCCUAUGGGUUAUGAAUCCGUACAAUAAUAAAUACAAGUAUAUAUGAACAACCAACCAUGAUAUCAAAGAUAAACAAACUCAAUUAUAAACUUAAGCAUUUAUGUUCUUGUCCUUAGCCCUAGAUGAGGGUGUUUAACCACUCAUGGAAUUACAACAAAUCACAAUAAUGAAAUUCAUGUAUAUAAUCCAAAAGUAAACUAAAUAAAAGUAUUAAAACCCUAAUAUAAGACUCCUCAAGUAUAUUCCAAGCCCCAAAGGUCGUCCAAGGUGUGUACAAGAAAAUAGAAAUAUCCUAUUUAUAAUGGGAGCUAAGUGCAUGUUUUGAACACAUGGGAGGGCCACACUAAGGGAUUGGUGAGAUAAAGGAAUGGUACACCCUUAUCAUGGAUGAAAACUAGAAUUUUCCAAUUUUAUUAGAAACCAAGGGUGUGGCAUGCCCUUAUCUAGGAGGAUAGAGGGCGUGGCAUGCCCUAGUGCUCAGAAUUUCUAGAUUUUGACAUCAUUUUCUCCAUCUAUUUGGCGUUGAGUUCUUUGCUUCAUGGUUGCUUUUACAACAUCACUGGACUGAAUUUUGCUUCUAUACCUCACUAUCAAUUUCUCAUAUAGACUACUAUAACAUCAAAAACCAUGAUUAGCUCUUACACACCAUUGAAUUCAUCAAGAUAAACUAGAACAACACCUACCUCAAGCUAGUAACACUAGUUUUCUCAUCUAAACACUAAGUGAUCACUUUUAUUUUGAACUUAUUUUAAACACAUAAAAAACAAUAUAAAAAAUUAAAUUAGCUCCUAUAUUCCCAAUUAUAUGAAUAUCAACUCAUCACGCACACAAGAAGUCCUCAAAACUAGGGCUAAAUACGUAGAGAUUAUGACACUUAGGUGCAUAAAUCUCCCUAAGAUCAUUAACAAACAACAAUAAGUUUUACUUAACCAAUCAUUUAUCUAAAUCAUAUACAUAAUUUCAAUAAUAAUUACAUUUAAUUAAAGAUAAUAACAAUGUGCUAUGAAUUAUAUAAAUUAUGUAGACUGAUCUUAGGUGUAUUUAUACAACUAAGUCUCAUUAUCUAUGCAUGUUUAGCUUAUUUUUGAGGAUAACUUGAAGUUAUUAAUGAAGUAUAAAUUAUGUGUUUGUGUAAUAAUUCUAGUGUUUAGAGUGUUUCAAGUGCAUUUCAAACAUGUCAAGAGUAAAAGGAAUCAAAUAGAGCUUUGACGAGAAAACUAUAGGCUAGCAUACACUAUGCUUGUUUUAGUGUACUUUGAUGAUCUCUAUUGUGUUGUACGAACUACCUUUUGUUAUGAGUUGUUGUAUCAAUACAACUAGAGAAGCUAUUGAAGCCAAAGACUACAAAAAAUCCAUAAGUGGGAAACAAGGAACAAGUGGAAGAGAUGAAAAGAGCCAAAAUUGAAUGAACUCUCACCCCGAGGAGGGGGCCUUAGGCGUUACCACCGUAGCAGGGGAGGGGGCCCUAAGACGCAUCACCUAGGAUGAGGGCAAAAUGCAUUGGUCAUUCUAUGGGAUGGUGCUUCACCCUAUUGUCCAUGCGGUGCAACUUCCAUAGACAUCUAACAGAUGGUUUUCACUUAUUUAAAUUGGGGGCAAAGUGGUCAAUACUUAUGUUUCAUUUAGGGAAGAUUAUGGACAACCUAACUUACUAUAUAAAGGGAAUUAACCACAUUUACAAAUAACUUUUGGAAUAACACAAGCUUGGGGAGAGGAGAAGGUAGAAAAGUCUCUACUCUAGGGUUUUUCUUCUCUGAACUUUUAGUUUCUUGUAGUUUUACUAAUAAACUCUUUAAUGUUGAUUCUUUGUAUGAGUAUUAGUUUUUAAAUACAAUUUUUAAGGUUGAGCCUGCAACAUGAUUGCUCAAGUAUGGUUUAAAGUCGAGUUUAUAUGUUUAUUAAGUCAUGUGAUUGUUCCUGUGUUCUUGUUUUACUUUUCUAAAGAAUUGCAAACUUUAGGAUAAAUUGUAGUCCCAAAACAAAUUGACCAUAGGAGUGGAGGGAAAAAAUGAAGAACAUAUGGAGUGUGGAUCAGAUCUUUAAUUUGCUUAGGGAUAAUUGUAAAAGGCGAUUAUCAUCCCUACUCAAUGAUGCAUUUGUGAUAUUAAUUUGGAUAAAGAUAUACCUAAAUUCCCACUUGGUUAAUGAUAUAGAAAGGUAGCUUAAUGCAUCUGAAUUAAAGAUUCGCAUCCCUACUCAAUGAUGCAUUUGUGAUACUAAUUUGGAUAGAUGACUUAGAGGAUGACUAUUCCUAUGAUGUAAUAUCAACCCCGUAGAUGAACCAUAACAAUAAACACGAACAUCGGCUAGAACCUAUAGUUUUACACGAAUGUGUAAUAAGUGUCAACCCUAGAAGCUCUCCUUUUAUAAUUUUUAAUCCAAAUUUCCCACCAUUAUUAUUUUUGUUAUUUAGUUUAUAAUUAAAGAAAUAUACAUCAAUUAAAAAUCCACACUUGUUAAAUUGAAAAUUAUACUUAGAAUUGGUGAUUAAAUGUCUUCAAGACCCUUGGGUAAGAUAACUCAACUUACAAGAAGAGUCACUUUACUACUUGUUUGACCACAACCCUUGCGUAAGAGCUAGGAUGCAACAAGUUUUUGGCGCUGUUGCUGAGGACUUAUCAUUAGUAAAUUUCUUGUUUUAAGUUUCUAUUUUACUUGCUAAAAAACUGUAAUUUGAUACUUAUCUUACAUGUAUAGGCCUGUGAAUCUAGUAGGCUGGCAAUGGAUAAGGAUUUGGUCCAACUAGAUCUUGAACCUGAGCAUUACUUACAUUGAUAAAGAAGAGAAGCCACACUUCUUUAUCCAUAUAUGCAAUUUCUGCAGGACAAGGCCAUUCUUAUAUCAAUAGGUGGUGAACAUCAAGCCUACAAGACAAUACGUGAAGUGGCAAUCUUAGUCAUAAAUAAUGUGACAACUAGUAUCCAAAAGCCGGACAGAGGUGGCAACUUUGAGCUUAAUUAGUACAUGGUGCAAUUGUUGUACACAAAUGGGAAGUUCCCAUUCCAACCUCAUGAGGAUCCAAAGGUCCAUCUAUAUAACUUAUUAGAGUUCAGUGACAUAUUUAUUCCUAUAGGAGUCUCCAUAAUUUACAUGAGGCCCACUCUUUUCCGAUUCUAAUUUUUAGGGGAAGCAAAGAAAUGGUUUUACAAAAGAACCUUCAAAAUCAAUCACGAUUUGGGAUGAUUAGGAAAAGAAGUUAUUUAUCUGAUUCUUUCAUUCUGGAAAAAUUGUAAGUUUGAGAAGUGAGAUCCUAAGUUUCAACGCAAGCCAAGAAAAAUCUCUAUUAUGUGUAGGGGAGAUUCUAGUCUCUUUUUAAGGAUUGAAUGCCUUAUCAAUAGACAAAUGCAGUAUUAGCUUAUACUUUUGUUGAAGUUCUUGACCAUAACAUAAAAAUUUUACUAGAUUCAGCAGCAGAUGGUCAGGCUUUGGAGAAAAAAUAUGAUGAGCUAUAUACUUUCCUUAACCGUAUUGCACCAGGUAAUCCAGAGUGGCAGUGUGAUCUAUCUAGAUGUAUUGUAAAGAAGAAUGUAGGUAUGAUUGAGGUAGAAAGUAUUAUAACACUAGUUGCACAAUUGAACUCUUUUCAGAAUCAAAUGAAGACUCAACUCAAUAAGUAUAGUGGGCUCAUCCUUAGGCCCAGGUUAAUGUAGUUUAACAGGUUUAGACUUGAUGUGAAAUUUAUUGCAGUAUUGGUCAUUCUUCAGAAUUAUAUGGAGAAAAUACUGAAACGGUAAAUUUUAUGGACAAUGCACAAAAGGAAAAUAGAACUAUUGUAAUGCCUACAACCAUAACUGGUAGAUUCAACCCAACUAAUUUUGAGUAAACAAUUAGGUCAACCUCAAUAGUUCAAUAGCAACAAGGUAUUCAAACCAAAACUCUAAAAAGUAAUGUAGAUGAGACUUUGAAAAAGAAUUUAGAGAUGCAAUUCGGCCUGUUAACUCAAGUGCAAAACAUAAGACCUCAAGGGGGUUAGAUUAGUGAGACAAAAAAUCCAAAAAAAAGUGAUGGAAAUUACCUUGACAAGUGGUAAAGACUUGGUUGAUGCAUAUUAAAAGAAUAAUAAUGAGAUGCAAGAAAAAUUAAUGACACAAAAGUACACGAAAAAGCAAGUGGCAGCAAAAAACAUGACAAAAAGGGGAAGUUUAAGAACCUAAAUAAAAAGUUAGUUGAGCAAUCUCAAGACCAACCACCACCUUCGUUCUCAUAAAAUCUUAAAAAAUUCCUAAGAGGAUGCUUUUUUCGAAGUUCUUUGACAUAUUCAAAGAACUUCAAAGUUAUUGUCCUUUGUUAGAUGCAUUAUAGGAAAAGCCCAAGAGUGAUAAGUACUUAAAGGAUGUAGUGAUGAAAAAAGGCUUGGUAAUAUUAAUACUAAGAACUUACUGAAGAGUGCAAUCUUGUGUUUAUGAGAAAUACGUCCAAAAAACUCAAGGACACUGGGAGUUUCACCUUCCCCAUACAAAUUGGUGAAAGUGAUACUAUCCAAGUUAUAAGUGAUUUAUAGGAAAGAAUCAACUUGAUGCCCCUUUUAAUUUUUAAUACACUUGAGUUGGGGAAGUCAAGGCCCUCCCCAUAUAUGUAUAGAUUCCAUACAGAACUAGAUGGUUCUGAAGGGGAUCAUGGAAGAUGUUCUUAUUGAGGUUGCUAAGUUAAUUAUUUCUUUCGACUUAUUGCUAUUGAAUAUUAUGUAAUAAUAAGUUACCAAUUAUAUUUGGGUGUCCAUUCUUGGCUAUUGGUGGAUUUUUGAUAGAUGUGAGAGAGGGAAUACUUAAGAUGAGGCGAAUGAUGAAGAGGUAGUCUUCAUAGUAUAUAAGGCGCUCAACACACCCUUAUAAUAUACAAACAUAUGCAUGAUCAUAGGUAAGUAUGUGGAUGAGUGUGGGGUGAAGAAGUGUAUUUUUCCUAUUACCUCUUCAAACUCUCUCAUAAAGUUGCCCUAAGAGAUGACUAAGUCUAAUCUUAAAAAGCAUGAAUGGAAUCUUGAGAAGGUGAAUGUGAGAAAAGUUAAAGACCUUCAGUGUGUGCAUUGUAUUGUUAAAAAAAUAAGGAGAAGAUGGGUUUCGACAAGGAGAAAAAAUAUGAGAUAAUAUGGAUAGUAUUGUGAUGUGAGUUGUGCCACAAUAAUAAAUUUGGCGCUGCUUGGCAGGCAACCUAAGUGAAGGCAAUUAUUUUUAUUUUUUUUGGUUUUAUUUAGUAUCCCUUUGGUUUUGUUUUGUUUUGUGUUGAUAGGUUGAAGGGAAGUCAAAGUACCUGAGAUCUUAGCUAAGAAACAUGAAAAACUUAAGUGUAGGGGUCCUCCAAACUUCUUUUAAGUAUAUGAUGCUACUAGCUAGGCCUAAAGGCCUCAUGGAGUAUUUUUAUUCUUCAUUCUUUGAUUUAUACUUUGGGUAGAAAGUAUGAUUUUAAGUGUAGGGUGGUACAUCUUUUGCUUUGUUUAAGAUGAAGUACACUAUAGAAUUUUCAUAUUGAUUUAUUUGCAAGUUUUUGAUGAAAUCAAUACAAUAACAAAAGGUUUUUAUUGUUGUUAUUUUUAAUUUUUAUUCUUUGGUUGUCUAGUAAAAUCACACUUCACCCAAACCACAAACUUUUUCUUUGAUUCUUCUCUGAGGGGAAGCCCUUUGAGCCUAGUAUUCUUUUUUAUUUUUAGGAGUAAUUUUAAAUUUUUUGUCAUUAUGAAGAGAUGCUCUCGCUAGGUUCUGCACAUAAUUACUUAAUACAAGUUGGCAUUAAAUUCUAUGGUAUUAUGUGGAAAUUGAAUGACUUAUGUGAGUCACCUAGGCUCUCUUAUGUGAAUUUUGUUUGAUUUUGACUUAAAAUUAUUCUUGCUAGUUCUUGGUUGAGAGUCUAUAGAUACCCUUCUUGAGUUAAACAUGUGUGUGUUUUGAUGUUUCAUUAUGUUCCAUGAUUGCAUAUAGAUGUCUAAUACUUGCCCGGUGUGUUUGUAAAGUGAAAUAAGAAUGUUGAGUUUAAAAGAUGAUAUAGACAUUUCUUUGAUAAACAUAUUUUAUGCCUUUUUAUCUAUCCUUUCUAUAUGACCUUAGAUAAACCUUUUGAACCUUUAUCCUAUUCUGUGGUAGCUUUAUAUGUAGCUUAUUCUUUUUCUUUCAAUUGACCUUAAUUUAAUCCAAAAACUCCAAAGUUCUUUGGUUGAAAAAUUAUGAUGCUAAGGAGUGUAAAAUUAAAGAAGAAAAAAGUGUAAAUCCCCAAUAUAGUAACUAUAGGCGUGUUUAAAAUGUUUAUGUGUUGUUAGUGAGAAGUAGCAUAGUGAGAAGAAAAAUUAACAAAAAGUGAAUCAUGUGUUGAUAUCAUAUACUCACUACUAAAGAUGUGUAAGCUAGCCUAAAGAGAUGAGGCAAAUAAAAAAAGGAAAGAAGAUAAAAGUGGUGAUAAAUAGGUUGAUUUGAAAUAAGUUUAAUGGAAAGUGUGAUGUAUCAAAGUGCUUAUAGAAGAUAGUCAAUAUCACUGGCUAGAAUAGUUUCAACCCAUCCCUUAUCCUACAUUAAAACUUUUAAAGUCCUACUUGAUAUUCAUAUUUGAAAUUAUGAAAUUAGUGUAAUACUACACUAAAGGAAAUCUUAUGCUUCAUCUUACAUGACAUGUGAAUUCUUUGUAAUUGGGUGCAAAAUUUGAUUCUUACACCCAAUUAUGUGAUAAAUUGUAUAUUUGUAAGUGAAUAUGGGUGACUCUUUAAUGGUGAGGGUGAAUGUAUAAUGAUGGAUAGGUUACUUAUAUGGUCUCUUUGUUUAAUAAUGUGCAUGAGUUUUCCAAGUUGUUAGGAUCAACUUUUGCGGGUAGGAAGUCUUAAAGUAGUAUUCAUGUGAUUGUAAUAAGAUAUCCUAAUGUAGAACUUGUUAUUCAUGUAGCACUCUAGCCUAGUUUGAGUAUCUUAGUGCAAGUAGUGAAGUUAGUGUUUUCAUUGAUUGCGAUUAAUGUAUAGAUUUGUUCGAGGAUGAACAAGGCUUUAAAUAUGGGGUGGUGAUCUAAAGAAUAUAUAUGCACCUAAGCCUCAUUAUCUACGCACAGUUAGCUUAGUUUUAAGGAUAACUUAAUGUAAUUCAUAAAAUAUUAAGUGUGUAUUUUUGUUCUAAGUUUCAUGUUUAGAUUGUUUGAAGUGCAUUUGAAAUAAGUCAAGAGUCAAAAGAGUCAUAUAGAGUUUAGAUGAGAAAACUAGUUAGGCUAGCCUACGCUAUGCUUAUUCUAGUGUACUUUGAUGAGCUCUAUUGUGUUAUUUGGGCUAAUUUUUUUUAUAAGUUGUUGUAUUAUAAAAUUGGAGGAUCUAUUAAAGAUAAAUAAAUCCUACAAACAAGCCAUAAGAAGUGUGGAAACGAGGAACAAGAGGGCAAGACGAAGAGAGAAAAAAUUGGACGAACCCUCACCCUGAGGAGAGGCCCUUUAGCCGCACCCCAUAUCCUGGGAGGUGGACUUUCAAUACACACCAUACAGUGAGUAAUAGUUCCUUAGUCAUGUUAUGGUCCUGUUCUUCACCCCCUUGGCCAUGCAAUAGUCUAUGAGGCGCAACCCCCUCUCUCCUAGGACAUCUAAAAGUUGUUUUUUUCACUUUUUUAUGUUGGGGUAAAAGAGAUCUACACUUAUAUUUCAUUUCAAAAAGAUUUUGGAUGAUAUAAAGGAUUAUAUAAGGUUUACUUAUCCAUAAUUACUUAAUUUUGGAGCAACACAAGCUUGGAGAGAGGGGAAGGCAACAAAGGCUCUGCUCUAGGGUUUUGCUUCUUUGAACUUUUAGUUUCUCGUUGUUUUAAUUAUGAAUGCUUUAAUGGUGAUUCUUUGUAAGAAAAUUAAAUGGAUAAACACCAUAUUUCUAGGGCUGAGUAUACCACAUGAUUUCUUAAGUAUGAUUUAGUGUCUGGUUUAUACUUUAAUCAAGUCAUGUGAUUGUUCUUAUGUUCUUGUUUUACUAUUCUAAAUAAUUGCAAACUUUAGGAUAAAUUGUAGUCCCAAAACAUACUGACAAAUUGAGUGGAGGGAUAGAAUGAAGAACCUAGGGAUGGUGGAUCAUAUCAUUAAUUCAUUAGGGGCUAAUUUUUAUUAGAUGAUUCAUGGUUAGGAUAGCUAUAUACCUUUAUGCCCUACUUGGUUAUUGAAAUAGGACGAUAACUUAAUUCAUCUGAAUUAGGGAUUCACAUCCCGACUCAAUGAUGUAGUUGUCUGAUUAAUUUGGGCAGAUGACUUGGAGGAUUACCAUUCCUAAGUUAUAAUAUCAACCAUGUAGAUCAAAAAUCAUACUAAACAUCAAUACCAGCUCGAACCCAUUGUUGUGCAUGAAUUGUAGUAAGUCUCAACCCUGAAAGCUCUCUAUUUAUUAUUUUCAAUACAAAUUUCACACCAUUGUUAUUUUUGUUUUUUAAUUUGUAAUUACAAAACUAUACUUCUGUUACAAACUCAUACUUGUUAAAUUGAAAAGUAUACUUAGAAUUGGUGAUUAAAUGACUUCAAGUCCCUUGGGUACGAGAACCCAACUCUCAAGAAGAGUCACUUCAUACUAAGUUGACCAUGUAUGCUUGUAUGUGUACUAGGCUGCAAUAAGUUUUUGGCAUCAUUGUUGGGCACUUAAGAUUUGCAAAUUUCUAAUUUUUAUUUGAUAAGUGAUUCAACUUGGUCUUAGCUACUCAACUUGCCGGUAUAGGUGUUUGAUAAUUAUAGGCUGGCAAGGAUAAGUUUAUGUCAAUAAUUAUGUGAAACCCAUAGAUUACGUGAAAUAAUAAGUUUAUGCCAUGACCCAAAUCAGGACCUACUCAUGAUGGGCAUCUCAAGCCCACCGUAGGCCAAAGACCAUCUCCUUAGGACAGCCUACAGAGCAUAAUAAAAGAAUUCAACGGAAGCACAAAUAGUAAUUAAAAAGAUAGACAAUCAACUAUAAACUCUAUGAAUCAAAUCAACAACCAACCCAACACUUGUCCAUAAAAGUCCUUAAAAACCAAGAAUACCAAAUAGUUUAGGACAUGCCCCCGACCAUGAUCAAAAGAAUCCAAAAUAAAAUUCUAAGAAAAUAAUGAAACAAAAUAAAUAAUCGAGUGUUCUGGAAGAUAGAGGCUCACCACUUCAAAGUGGGCCAACUGACGUACCAAAUCACCUAAUGCUACCCAAGAGCAAUGGUCAUUGGGAUAAGCACUAGCAUGUAACUCAAGAAAAAUGAUAAAAUAAUGCCAUUUCCAAAACCAGUUAAAACCACAUGCACAAAUUCAUAUAUACAUAUAUAAGAUUUCGGGAUAUAAGAAAGGGUCAUGAACACGAGAGUUUAAAAUAUUAACUUGAACUAUGUAGCUAGCUCGAUCCUAAAGGCACCUAUAGGCUAUAUGGGUUUAGUUUCCCCUUCUAAAAGGGUCCUAGUAUAUAUUUGUUGCAUGAACUGUGGAAACUAAGAAAAGGAUAAAGACACCAAGGUGAUAGCCAUUCCAAAAUAUAUUAUUUGCAUGAGCACACAGUCAUAUAGACCCCCAAACCGAAAAAUGUGUUUUUCAGUGUUGGUUCCCCUAGACUACACCUUCAAAGUAAGUUGUACAAUUUCCUUUAAGCCUAAUUUGAAACAGCUUUCACAUAAACCCAUCCAUUAACCCAUGAGUAUUAUAUGAAGCAAUUUUCCAAUAUGGCAUCAUCAUACUAAUUACGCUUGCAAUCUUAUAUAAUUUUGCCAACCAAUCUAUGUUCCAUUUGACUCCUAAGUUACAUUUAAAAAUCCAAUCCAUUUUUAUUAUCCAUUAUCCAUUAGUGCAAUGCAAGCUUCCAAAAGUAAUUUAAAUUAUGCAAAUUACAUAUUCAAAACCAAAGUAAUGAUGGUGGGUUGAUGUUAAUGCCAUUACCAAGCCAAAAAUGCAGCAAUUUGGGGAAACCCAUGUUCCCCAUUCAAAUCCCAAUAUCAAAAACCCAUCUAGUCCCAAGAAUAUCAAUUAAAUCAUGAAUAACAUAUUCAAGACAUGAAAAAAGAAAUUCAGAUAAUCACCAUCAAAAUACCUUAACCCAAUUUCAAACUCAACAAUAAAAUCAUAUGAAUAUUAAACCGAUUUAUAUCAUAGAGAAAAUACAAAUUCAGGAAUGAGAGACAUGCCUGAAAUACAUAAUAAAUUAAUAGAAAUCCAAAGUUUGGAUUUUGAAUAAUUGAUUUUGAAAUAUCCUUGGUUUUGAACCUUAGAAAAUUUCUUGAAAUUUUUGUUCUUCGGACCUACUACAACUCAUGGGUAUGAGCCAUAUGUUGGGGUACAAGUGGUAUGGUCCUGUCGUAUGCUAAUCAGUGUUAGUUGGUGGGAUGGUUUUGAUCAUUGGAAUGGGUACGACUUAGGGGUAUGAGUCGUAAGGCUUGGUACGAGUCAUAUCAAGGACUCAUAUGGUAGGCAGUGUUUGAUCAUCAUGGUAUUUUAUUAUGCCAGGGAUACGGGUUAUGGGUAUGAAUUAUAUUAGGGGUUACGACAUGGUUGGAAGAGUCAUAUACUGUAUAAUUUCUGAUACAAGGGUGAGGCUUGGAUAUGAGUGGUGGGUACCAAUCGUAUUGGGUGGGUACGACUGAUAUUGUAUCAGUCGUAUCCCUUUGACGGGAUUUUAUACAUCUUAUGUAGGGGUAUUCUGGAUAUUUCCCAACUUACCCUAAUUAGAUCCCAUGACUUUUAAUACACUUAGGAGGUUAUUUACCCUAUUAUUCUAUUCAUUAACACUUAGGAACUAUUACAAAAUUCUCCAUAAUUCUAUCAAGAGCUUUUGGGCAACAGAGUUAUGGUUUCAAGUAAAGAUUUACUUUGGGUCUUGUCUUAGUGAUUUCCUUCCAUUAUAUUCUUUGGUUUAAUGCAUAAUUCUCUUUUCUCAUUGUAAUUUCAACUAAAGUCAUGGUUUAUAUGAUUGAUUUCAUGGUUUUACUAUUUUAUAAUUAUGGUUUUCAAUUAUUAUUUUGGGAUUUUGAUAUUAAAUGCUUGGUUAUGGUUUCGUAUGGUUUUAAUUAGGCUUUUAUAUGCAUUAAUGGUGGUUUUGGACAAUUGGAUUGCAUGGUAAUAGUUUAAUGGUCUCUGGAAUUGGUUUUUAAUAUAUUAUGCACCCAAUGUGUUUUAUAAAAUGCAUAUAAAGGUAUAUUCAUUUCAUUGACUUCUUUUAAUAGAAAUCUUGCUCACUUUCAGCUUAUGUAAUAAAGGUUUAAAUGGUUUAGAAUGAUUAAAGGCUAAAUAGUUAUGUUUGUAGGGAACAUGGAAGUCUGUCAAGUGGUUUAAUAUGGUAUAUGGAAAGGCAAUUGAAAUUCCCCUUAACCUAAAUAGUUUGGCUAUGGAUAUUACUUGCAAAUAAAGGGUGGUAUGACGAUACCACUUAUAUUUUCCUUGGUUAAUAAAAUGGUAAAUUUAUUGUUUGGAUAUUUGGAAAGGGUUUUAAUUGGGAAUUAAUGUUGGGGUGUGUAGAAAAUCCAUGGAAGGUGGUGGUCCCAGGGGGACCAAAACUAGAAACUUGUAUUUGCCGAUAUGAAGAAGAGUCAUAUACUGUAUAAUUUCUGAUACAAGGGUGAGGCUUGGAUAUGAGUGGUGGGUACCAAUCGUAUUGGGUGGGUACGACUGAUAUUGUAUCAGUCGUAUCCCUUUGACGGGAUUUUAUACAUCUUAUGUAGGGGUAUUCUGGAUAUUUCCCAACUUACCCUAAUUAGAUCCCAUGACUUUUAAUACACUUAGGAGGUUAUUUACCCUAUUAUUCUAUUCAUUAACACUUAGGAACUAUUACAAAAUUCUCCAUAAUUCUAUCAAGAGCUUUUGGGCAACAGAGUUAUGGUUUCAAGUAAAGAUUUACUUUGGGUCUUGUCUUAGUGAUUUCCUUCCAUUAUAUUCUUUGGUUUAAUGCAUAAUUCUCUUUUCUCAUUGUAAUUUCAACUAAAGUCAUGGUUUAUAUGAUUGAUUUCAUGGUUUUACUAUUUUAUAAUUAUGGUUUUCAAUUAUUAUUUUGGGAUUUUGAUAUUAAAUGCUUGGUUAUGGUUUCGUAUGGUUUUAAUUAGGCUUUUAUAUGCAUUAAUGGUGGUUUUGGACAAUUGGAUUGCAUGGUAAUAGUUUAAUGGUCUCUGGAAUUGGUUUUUAAUAUAUUAUGCACCCAAUGUGUUUUAUAAAAUGCAUAUAAAGGUAUAUUCAUUUCAUUGACUUCUUUUAAUAGAAAUCUUGCUCACUUUCAGCUUAUGUAAUAAAGGUUUAAAUGGUUUAGAAUGAUUAAAGGCUAAAUAGUUAUGUUUGUAGGGAACAUGGAAGUCUGUCAAGUGGUUUAAUAUGGUAUAUGGAAAGGCAAUUGAAAUUCCCCUUAACCUAAAUAGUUUGGCUAUGGAUAUUACUUGCAAAUAAAGGGUGGUAUGACGAUACCACUUAUAUUUUCCUUGGUUAAUAAAAUGGUAAAUUUAUUGUUUGGAUAUUUGGAAAGGGUUUUAAUUGGGAAUUAAUGUUGGGGUGUGUAGAAAAUCCAUGGAAGGUGGUGGUCCCAGGGGGACCAAAACUAGAAACUUGUAUUUGCCGAUAUGAAGAUUGGUCUUAGUGGACCGUGUGCAUGAUGUCACACUAUUGGGGGAUGUACUAGUCAUCGCAUGGGAUACUUCCCUGGUAUUGUAGCUCUAGAUAGUGGGUUCCUUUCAGCAGGGGGAACUGAACCCAUAUAGCCCGUGGGUGGUUUAGGAUGGCCAAGCUACACAACGCAAGUAAAGGUUUUAGAGGUAUGAUAAAAAUUGAUUCCCUUUCCCAGCAUGUUUAUAUCUGUAUGUAUAGUUGGUUUUAUUGAAAAGUUUUACUUGGUUUUAUAAUUGGUAUUAUUUUAUCCUUAUCUUGAUAUUCAUGGUAGCAGUCACUCGCUAACCCGUCUACCAGCGACUGUAUACCUAUGCUAUGUAGAAACUGACCAUUCAACUUCUCCUUCAUAAGGGUUGUCUCAGGGACAACAUUUGGACUAAAGUGGUGAUCUUCCAUCCAUUUCGAAGGCAUCAUUUCAUGUUAUGGAUAUUUUUAGACAUUUUAACUUUAUUUUAGAUAUUCGUUUUGGCCAUGGUUGGGGACAUAUCCGAACAGGAUUUAUUUACUCUUUUAGAUAGAGGCUUUAUGGUACUUUUGGGGGUUGCUAUGGGUGGGAUCAAUAUUGGCAUUUGCCUUUGCAUUGGUAUUGGUGUUGGGGUUUACACCCUUGGAUAAUAUUGUUGGUUGUUCCUUCAUAUUAUAUUUUGGGAUUGAUUAUCAUAUUAUGUUUUGGUAUUCUCUUUGGUUAUGGCCUAGUUUAUGUCAAUUACUUUAGAUUAGUAAGGUUGGAUGGUUGAUUUGGUAUGGGUGGACUCGGUUGGGAUGGUCAUGGUUAUGACCCUAUCCUAGAGUUUACAUAAGAGCAUUUAUGCUAACUUGUUAUGUGCUCGAAAUUUAGCCCAGCUAAGAUUGGAUAUAGGUGGUUGGGUUGGGUAAUAGGGGGCAUUCCCUAGUCCUGGUUAGACUUAGGAUGACCAUUAUGAAAAAGCCCGAGGUCAGGUCAUGUCAAGUUGGUAUUAGAGCCUAGGUUCAUGGUCACUUAGGAGUCCACAAAGUUGUGUUGAGUCGAGUCUCUUUUAGGGGUAUGAAGCAUGCCACACUCACAAGGGGGAGGCCACAAGGCAUUUAGAAGUGUUUCACUUUCUCUAUAUUCUAUCUUCAAGCUUGUGUUAUCAAUCAUGAAAUAUUCUCUAAUCCUUGUUUUCUCAUCUUUCAGAUCAUGCCUCCUAGAUUUAUAACACAAAGAAAUUCUACCAUCCAAUCUAAGGAUAAUGAUUAAGGGGUACAUCCUACGUUUAGAGUACAUCUUUGAUGUUAUGGUCCUAUUCUUGAUGGUGCUGAAGUUCCUCCUAUUUUGGCUAGUUCUCCUCAGUUCCCUUAAGGCAAAUGACGAAUAUAGAAUUUUGUCAGUCUAUUUAUGUUAUUGUCCAAAUAGUUGCUGCUCAGGCUGGGUGGAGUGCGGCUGGUGCUUUAUCUGUUGAGGCCACAAGGGUUGGUUAAUUUGUGAAGAUGGGUCCUCCAACUUUUACUAAAGUAAAGGUGGAAGAUGAUCCACAGGGCUUCUUGGAUGAGAUGGAAAAGAUCUUUCGAGUGAUGCAGACUACUAAUAUUCUUACUCGGAAGGUCCUUCUUUGUCUUCGGUCCCUUUGGGUAAUGAGUUUACAAAGGUCUUUUCGGAUGAUCUUCCUGGUGUUCCUCCGAAUAGGAAAAUAGAGUUGGGUAUUGAUUUUCUUCUGGACACUCGUCCAAUUUCUAUUCCUCCAUAUGUAAUGGCUCUAGGUUAGUUAAGGAAACUCAAGGAGCAACUUAAUAAUCUUCUGGACAAGGAGUUUAUUCGUUCUAGUGUUUCUCCAUAGGGUGCACCGGUGUUGUUUGUUUAUAAGAAGGAUGGUUCCCUUUGGAUGUGCAUUGAUAACAUGCAGUUGAAUAAGGUGAUAGUCAAGAACAAGUAUAAUCUUCCUUAGAUAGAUGACUUAUUUGAUUAGUUACACGGUGCCAAGUUCUUUUCUAAGAUAGAUCUUUGGUCUGGGUACCAUCAGCUUAAGAUUAGGGAGGUGGAUAUCCCUAAGACGGUUUUUUGUACUUGGUAUGGGCAUUUUGAAUUCUUGGAGAUGUCAUUUGGGUUAACCAAUAUGCCGGCAACAAUAUGGAAAUUGAUAAAUAGGGUGUUAGGGUAGUAUUUGGAUCUCUUCAUCAUUAAGUUUAUUGAUUACAUUCUAGUUUAUUUGAAGAGUGAGUUGUUAAGAAACCAAAACCUAGGAAAAUUCGCUGUUAUGAUAACGAGUUCUCAUCAUAACUGGUUACAUCUCAUAAUGAGUCGUACCUUGUGCUGUUAUCACUAGCAGUUUUUGACAUUAUUUUAGGAACUUGGCUAAUUCAAUUACUCUACAUUUGGAGGGUAUAGAGCGCAAAAACUUGGGGUGUCAUAGUUUACGGAAGAACCUUCAAACUCAAUUAGGAAAUUGGAUGAUUUAGCAAAGAAGUUCCUCAUCCAAUUCUUUCCUUCUGGCAAUCUACAAGGUUUUGGAUUAAGAUCCAAAGUUUCAAGCAGAAGACCGACAAAAUAUGUAUCAUGCGUGGUAGAGAUUCAAGUAUCGUCUCAAAGAUUUCCCACAUCACCAACAAAUAAGUGAUGUAUUAGAUCAUACUUUUGUUGAAGUACUAGACCAUAACAUAAAAAUAUUGCUAGUUUCAGCAAAAUAUAGUUAGCCCUUAGAGAUAACCUAUAAUGAGUUGUAUAGUUUUCUUAACCAUAUUGCAUAAGGUAAUCUAGAGUGGCAAUAUGAUGUAUCAAGAAGUAUUGUGAAAAAUCCUAUAGGUGUGAUUGAGUAGAUAAAAUCACAACAUUGGCUACACAAUAGGCCUUUUUCAAGAAUCAAAAGAUGACUCAAUUAAACAAAUUGAGUGUGGCUUAAGCUCAGGUCCAAAUUAAUAGAGUUCAGGAGGUUCAGACUUGGUAUGAAAUUCGUGGUAGUUGCGGUCACUCUGCAGACUUAUGUGGAGAAAGUAUAGAAUUAGCGAAUUUUGUGGACAAUACACAAAAAUGGUACCAGAACUAUUGUAAUUCCUACAACCAGAACUGAUAAAGUCAGCCCAACUACUUUUGGCAAAACAAUCAGGUCCAACCUCAGUAGUUUUAGCAAUAACAAGAUAUUCAAAUGAAAACAUACGCAAAAAAUAUAGAGAGGAAUUUGAAAAAAGAUUUUGUCUAACCAAUAACAAAAGACUAUAGAGAUAAAAAAAUCAGUAGUUGGAUCAAAAGAAUUUAGAGAUACAGUUGGGCCAGUUAGCAUAAGCACAAAAUACAAGACCUCAAGGGGGUUUGCCUAGUGAUACAAACAAUUCAAAGCAAGAGAUGGAAAUAACCUUGAGAAGUGGUAGACACCUAGUUGAUGCACCUCCCAAAAAAAUAAUUAGGUACAAGCAAAAUUGAUCACACCAAAGAAAA
rnacentral:lncRNA from 1 species